GUGGGGAAUAUUGGACAAUGGGCGAAAGCCUGAUCCAGCCAUGCCGCGUGUGUGAAGAAGGUCUUCGGAUUGUAAAGCACUUUAAGUUGGGAGGAAGGGUAGUAACCUAAUACGUUGCUACUUUGACGUUACCGACAGAAUAAGCACCGGCUAACUUCGUGCCAGCAGCCGCGGUAAUACGAAGGGUGCAAGCGUUAAUCGGAAUUACUGGGCGUAAAGCGCGCGUAGGUGGUUUUGUAAGUUGGAGGUGAAAUCCCCGGGCUCAACCUGGGAACUGCCUCCAAAACUGCAUGACUAGAGUACGGUAGAGGGUAGUGGAAUUUCCUGUGUAGCGGUGAAAUGCGUAGAUAUAGGAAGGAACACCAGUGGCGAAGGCGACUACCUGGACUGAUACUGACACUGAGGUGCGAAAGCGUGGGGAGCAAACAGGAUUAGAAACCCUGGUAGUCC
rnacentral:rRNA from 1 species